rnacentral:lncRNA from 1 species
AGAACUGAAUAUGAAUUAUCCUCCAUUAAAAACGUUAUCUCUGAUAUGGAGGUGUCGAUCCAACAUGAGUUAUCUCUGUCUCAUGCACUGACUAUUGUAUUAUAGUUGAAAAAGUCAAUUGUGAACCCCAUAAAACUAACCACUUGUCAUCGACGGGAGCAACUUGAGGCCAAAGUUGGAAUCAGCUCACGUGUUCUAGCAAAGGAAGAUGUGAUCUGAACAAUGGCAGACAGAUCAGUCCUAGAUUUUUUCAAGCAGAACAAAUACAAAGAUUGCAGAAAAAGGGCGCAGUACUUUCUGACAUUGUAGAUGAAAAUUUUAUAGAAUAAUUUGGCAAAAGCUAGUACAUACCUCUGGGGUAGCAUGUUCGGCAGGGGAUGUUCUUCGGGCUCACGUGUAGUACGCUUGGGCGGCGGAUUUUCUUCUGGCGAACUCGGCUGAGACGAUCCUGGACGACUCUUCAAAAGUUGCGAUAUGAUGCGAUUUAAUGGAGAUUCCGGUCGAGGGCUCCUUCUAAUGGCAGCCAAGUCACUCUCAAAUCUGGGUCGGGCACGCCAUGGAUUUGUGUUGCAGCACUUAUCCUGGGGGAACACGGACUCCGAUCCAAAUCGGAGACAUACGGCGGCAGGAGGUUGAAGAUCGUGGUGGCACCGGAGAAGAUUGAGAUGGAUAGGGAGGGGAACGAGAGCAGGGCGGCGG